UACGUAGGGUGCAAGCGUUGUCCGGAUUUAUUGGGUUUAAAGGGUGCGUAGGCGGCCCUAUAAGUCAGUGGUGAAAUCCUGCAGCUCAACUGUAGAUGUGCCAUUGAUACUGUAGGGCUUGAGUACAGACGAGGUAGGCGGAAUUUAUGGUGUAGCGGUGAAAUGCAUAGAUACCAUAAAGAACACCGAUAGAGAAGUCAGCUUACUAGGCUGUAACUGACGCUGAGGCACGAAAGCGUGGGGAUCGAACAGG
rnacentral:rRNA from 1 species